rnacentral:rRNA from 1 species
CACUAUCGUUAACUGAAUACAUAGGUUAACGAGGCGAACCGGGGGAACUGAAACAUCUAAGUACCCCGAGGAAAAGAAAUCAACCGAGAUUCCCCCAGUAGCGGCGAGCGAACGGGGAGCAGCCCAGAGUCUGAAUCAGCUUGUGUGUUAGUGGAACGGUCUGGAAAGUCCGACGGUACAGGGUGAUAGUCCCGUACACCAAAAUGCACAGGUUGUGAACUCGAAGAGUAGGGCGGGACACGUGGUAUCCUGUCUGAAUAUGGGGGGACCAUCCUCCAAGGCUAAAUACUCCUGACUGACCGAUAGUGAACCAGUACCGUGAGGGAAAGGCGAAAAGAACCCCGGCGAGGGGAGUGAAAAAGAACCUGAAACCGUGUACGUACAAGCAGUGGGAGCACCUUCGGGUGUGACUGCGUACCUUUUGUAUAAUGGGUCAGCGACUUAUAUUCUGUAGCAAGGUUAACCGUAUAGGGGAGCCGCAGGGAAACCGAGUCUUAACUGGGCGUUAAGUUGCAGGGUAUAGACCCGAAACCCGGUGAUCUAGCCAUGGGCAGGUUGAAGGUUGGGUAACACUAACUGGAGGACCGAACCGACUAAUGUUGAAAAAUUAGCGGAUGACUUGUGGCUGGGGGUGAAAGGCCAAUCAAACCGGGAGAUAGCUGGUUCUCCCCGAAAGCUAUUUAGGUAGCGCCUCGUGAACUCAUCUUCGGGGGUAGAGCACUGUUUCGGCUAGGGGGUCAUCCCGACUUACCAACCCGAUGCAAACUACGAAUACCGAAGAAUGUUAUCACGGGAGACACACGGCGGGUGCUAACGUCCGUCGUGAAGAGGGAAACAACCCAGACCGCCAGCUAAGGUCCCAAAGUCACAGUUAAGUGGGAAACGAUGUGGGAAGGCACAGACAGCCAGGAUGUUGGCUUAGAAGCAGCCAUCAUUUAAAGAAAGCGUAAUAGCUCACUGGUCGAGUCGGCCUGCGCGGAAGAUGUAACGGGGCUAAACUGUGCACCGAAGCUGCGGCAGCGACACUUAGGUGUUGUUGGGUAGGGGAGCGUUCUGUAAGCCUGCGAAGGUGGCCUGUGAGGGUUGCUGGAGGUAUCAGAAGUGCGAAUGCUGACAUAAGUAACGAUAAUGCGGGUGAAAAGCCCGCACGCCGGAAGACCAAGGGUUCCUGUCCAACGUUAAUCGGGGCAGGGUGAGUCGACCCCUAAGGCGAGGCCGAAAGGCGUAGUCGAUGGGAAACAGGUUAAUAUUCCUGUACUUGGUGUUACUGCGAAGGGGGGACGGAGAAGGCUAUGUUAGCCGGGCGACGGUUGUCCCGGUUUAAGCAUGUAGGCGGAGGUUCCAGGUAAAUCCGGUACCUUUUAACGCUGAGGUGUGAUGACGAGGCACUACGGUGCUGAAGUAACAAAUGCCCUGCUUCCAGGAAAAGCCUCUAAGCAUCAGGUAACAUUGAAUCGUACCCCAAACCGACACAGGUGGUCAGGUAGAGAAUACCAAGGCGCUUGAGAGAACUCGGGUGAAGGAACUAGGCAAAAUGGUGCCGUAACUUCGGGAGAAGGCACGCUGAUAUGUAGGUGAAGCCCCUGCGGGUGGAGCUGAAAUCAGUCGAAGAUACCAGCUGGCUGCAACUGUUUAUUAAAAACACAGCACUGUGCAAACACGAAAGUGGACGUAUACGGUGUGACGCCUGCCCGGUGCCGGAAGGUUAAUUGAUGGGGUUAUCCGUAAGGAGAAGCUCUUGAUCGAAGCCCCGGUAAACGGCGGCCGUAACUAUAACGGUCCUAAGGUAGCGAAAUUCCUUGUCGGGUAAGUUCCGACCUGCACGAAUGGCGUAAUGAUGGCCAGGCUGUCUCCACCCGAGACUCAGUGAAAUUGAACUCGCUGUGAAGAUGCAGUGUACCCGCGGCAAGACGGAAAGACCCCGUGAACCUUUACUAUAGCUUGACACUGAACAUUGAGCCUUGAUGUGUAGGAUAGGUGGGAGGCUUUGAAGCGUGGACGCCAGUCUGCGUGGAGCCAACCUUGAAAUACCACCCUUUAAUGUUUGAUGUUCUAACGUUGGCCCCUGACCGGGGUUGCGGACAGUGUCUGGUGGGUAGUUUGACUGGGGCGGUCUCCUCCCAAAGAGUAACGGAGGAGCACGAAGGUUAGCUAAUCCUGGUCGGACAUCAGGAGGUUAGUGCAAUGGCAUAAGCUAGCUUGACUGCGAGCGUGACGGCGCGAGCAGGUGCGAAAGCAGGUCAUAGUGAUCCGGUGGUUCUGAAUGGAAGGGCCAUCGCUCAACGGAUAAAAGGUACUCCGGGGAUAACAGGCUGAUACCGCCCAAGAGUUCAUAUCGACGGCGGUGUUUGGCACCUCGAUGUCGGCUCAUCACAUCCUGGGGCUGAAGUAGGUCCCAAGGGUAUGGCUGUUCGCCAUUUAAAGUGGUACGCGAGCUGGGUUUAGAACGUCGUGAGACAGUUCGGUCCCUAUCUGCCGUGGGCGCUGGAGAAUUGAGGGGGGCUGCUCCUAGUACGAGAGGACCGGAGUGGACGCAUCACUGGUGUUCGGGUUGUCAUGCCAAUGGCAUUGCCCGGUAGCUAAAUGCGGAAGAGAUAAGUGCUGAAAGCAUCUAAGCACGAAACUUGCCCCGAGAUGAGUUCUCCCUGANUCCUGAAGGAACGUUAAAGACGAUGACGUUGAUAGGUCGGGUGUGUAAGCGUAGCGAUACGUUGAGCUAACCGAUACUAAUGAACCGUGAGGCUUAACCUU